AGUCGAGCAGUUUGGGAUUUGCUGCUUAAACAUGGGAGGUAGAUUCCUUCUAAAGCUAAAUACAGGCGAGAGACCGAUAGAGAACAAGUACCGCAAGGGAAAGAUGAAAUAGCACUCUGUGAAGGGAGUCAAAAGACGUGAAAUUGUUGCGAGAGAAGCGAUUCAAGUCAGCGUAGCUAGGCCCAUCAAGCCUCUUGCUUUGGACUAGCUUUGCCAGCGGUCUUGUCCUAAGAGACUUGACUUUUAUAUGUCCAGCCUGGUAUGUACAGGUAGCCCCAUCGGGGCCAGUGACAUGGCUGGUGGAAUGGCUUGCAAUCGACCCGUCUUGAAACACGGACCAAGGAGUCUAACAUGUAUGCGAGUAUAAGGGUGGCAAACCCGUAUGCGCAAUGAAAGUGAUUUUCGGUGAUUGAGAAUGGCCUGAUGACCAGACAAGCAAUAUUAUGUCCCUCGUACGGCCAUUGCCCAAGUUCCGUGGUAGAUCCCACGAACAUGGUGUUGGAGCAUACAUGCUAGGACCCGAAAG
rnacentral:rRNA from 1 species